GAUGAACGCUGGCGGCGUGCUUAACACAUGCAAGUCGAACGAUGAAGCCCAGCUUGCUGGGUGGAUUAGUGGCGAACGGGUGAGUAACACGUGAGUAACCUGCCCUUAACUCUGGGAUAAGCCUGGGAAACUGGGUCUAAUACGGGAUAGGAGGGCCUACGGCAGGGGGGGGGUUGGAAAGAUUUAUCGGUUUUGGAUGGACUCGCGGCCUAUCAGCUUGUUGGUGAGGUAAUGGCUCACCAAGGCGACGACGGGUAGCCGGCCUGAGAGGGUGACCGGCCACACUGGGACUGAGACACGGCCCAGACUCCUACGGGAGGCAGCAGUGGGGAAUAUUGCACAAUGGGCGAAAGCCUGAUGCAGCGACGCCGCGUGAGGGAUGACGGCCUUCGGGUUGUAAACCUCUUUCAGUAGGGAAGAAGCGAAAGUGACGGUACCUGCAGAAGAAGCACCGGCUAACUACGUG
rnacentral:rRNA from 1 species